UGCACUUGCCAGGCAAGUGCUGUGCCGCUGAGCUAAAUCCCCAGCCCAUAAGCUAAAUCCCCAGCCCUGUGUUGCAUUGAUUAAAAAGACUACAGUCUGCUCAGAUGUGUCCAUACACAAAGGCUGAUCAAAAAUAUGAGGAACGGGGACAGGACCCAGAGGUGGAGAGUACUCUUUCGGGUGCGGAGAAAGCCAUCUUCUCAGGCAGAUGAAUCACAAAGACAGAAGAGCCCAGGUCCCUGGAGGCAUCACUAUGUACUAAGUUACACCAACCCAGACCUGCCUGCUUCUGGAUUUCCUGUUACAGGCAGGAAACAGAUCCAUUUGUAGUUUGUGUUGCUGAUUGUUCAAUUUUUGCCCUUUGCAAGCAAGUUCACUCUCAGCGGACACAGCCUUGAACUUCAGAGCUGCUUUGUGGAAUACGGCGGGCUUAAGAUACUAUGAGAAGGCCCUGGAGAAUUGAGGGCUCUUAUGUUUUUUUGUUUUGGGUUUUUGGUUUUUCUCCGGUACCGGGAAUCGAACUCAUGACCUUGCGCUUGCCAGGCAGGGGCUGUGCCGCUGAGCUAAAUCCCGAGCCCCUGAGGGCCCUUACGAAGGGGACAAAUUCCCCCUCCGCAUUUUCCCACCCGCCUGUGAAACAGACACCGACACCCUCAUGGAUGUAUCAGGAAGAACCUUGGUACCCCCGACACUGGCUCUGCACCGAGAGAGGAGAGGGGCCUCUUGGGUUGGCACAGAGGGCAAAGGGCACCAGGCACACACCACUAGCCUGUUCGUGGCGCUCUCUCUGGGACUGACCCGGCUCCCCAGCCUGUUCUGCGUCUGCUCCUACCCCCUCCUGCUAACAGCACUGGGGCUGGCCCGGCCCCUACUGCGAGGACUUCAAUAGCCCAGCUGCUCUGCCGAGAGUGGGUGGGUGAGUUCAAGUCAGGGGAGGAGGAUAGGAAACCCAUUUGGGCCUUGGGUCUCGGCCCAUCUGGACCAGCAAUAAAGCUGACAUUUUAAUCUCU